CCCAGGGCCCAUCACCUACAAGGAGAAUGAAGACCCAUGACUUGGCCUAUAAGGUCUUCAAUCAUCUGACCGACCACCUGAUGAAGAGUUUCAGCUAUACUUGGAAGGUCAGAUUGAGGCCAGAUCCUGAUGGACCUUGAAUGCCGGGUUGAGGAGCUUAGAUGGAAUCCUUCAGAUUUCUGGAACUGCGAGGAGGCAUCUUCAUUUAUGUGCUCCAGUGAAGCCUGGCUCCAAGCAAGUCUCAUCACCCCUGACCGUGAAGAUGCAGGUUGUAACCUGAACCAUAUUGGAGAGUUUCUUUUGGGAUGACUGAAGGCUGGAGAGAAUCUGAAUUUACCUUCCUUCUAAAGAAAGGCAAUCUUUAAAGGCAGUAAGGUGUGACGCUCCAGACUGGCAGCUUGGCAAGGCAGAGCCCAUGGAUACCAGCACACGGGAAUCUGGACCGCUCGCUCUGACAGCAGUCAGCACUGGGAACAAAAGGAAUGGAGGGGAAAAAAAGCGCAAAUGUAUUUUUACAUAUUGUAGGCAUAUGGCCACAAGACCAGCAGAAAUAUAUUUAAUUACCAAUUGCGCACAUUGAAGAGAAAAACACCGGGAAGGAAAAAAAAAAAAACAAAACCUGUGUACACAGCAAUGUUAUUCUACUUUAACUUUUCACCUCAUUUUUUGUUUGUUUGUUUGUUUUCUUUUCUUUCUUUUUUUUUUACCUGAAGAUGAAAAGGAUGUGGUUUAGAAUCGAGAAGGGUUAUCUACUAGAAUCCCAUUGAAGGUGCUAUGGGUCUUUGACAUGCCUUUCCAAAUAGUGUAACAUUAAUUUUUCUUUUAAUUAUUUUAAUUAUAAAAUAAUUUUUCAAAGGUAUUUGGGGGGGUCAGGGGGACCUACCUGAAACAGAACCAUUAGACAAUCCCACCGUCCCGUGAAAACUGUAUUUCUGAUGUUAAACAUUUGUUUAGGCCUUGACAAUGAACAAAUCCCCCUUGGAAGUUUUAUAGUUUUGUUCUUCCUUAUGAAAUCGGAACAGUUCAGCCCACAUUAAUUGCCUGCUUCCUAUCUGUCAGGCACUGUGCUAGCCAGUGGAGGGGCAGAGAUGAACCAUAUAUAUUCCCUGCGCUCAAGAAGCUCAUAGUCUAAGAUGGGAGACAGACACAGGUAUCUAUAAUUAUAAUAUUAAAUUAUUAAAAUUAUAAUAAAAAUUAAAAGUAUAAUUAUAGUACACAUAAUAAAAUAUGAAUAUUGUAAUGAGGUAGGUAUAUUGAUACAGGGAUCAGAGAGAAUAGACUUUGGGGGA
rnacentral:lncRNA from 1 species